AUUGAACGCCGGCGGCAGGCCUAACAAAGGCAAGUCGAACGAGGGGCGGACGGGUGAGUAAUGCUUGGGAAACUGCCUGACGGAGGGGGUAAACUACUGGAAACGGGAGCUAAUACCGCAUACCAGCGGAUGUGGCCAGAUGGGAUUAGCUGGUGGGUGGGGUAACGGCUCCCCUAGGCGGCGAUCCCUAGCUGGUCUGAGAGGAUGACCAUCCACACUGCAACUGAGACACGGUCCAGACUCCGACGGGAGGCAGCAGUGGGGAAUAUUGCACAAUUGGCGCAAGCCUGAUGCAGCCAUGCCGCGUGUAUGAAGAAGGCCUUCGGGUUGUAAAGUACUUUCAGCGGGGAGGCGUUACCCGCAGAAGAAGCACCGGCUAACUCCGUGCCAGCAGCCGCGGUAAUAC
rnacentral:rRNA from 1 species